rnacentral:rRNA from 1 species
AAUACUGGAUCCUGCUAGUAGCAUAUGCUUCUCUCAAAAAAUUGAGACAUGCAUAUGUAAGUAUAGACGGCCGGUAGAGUUAAACUGCAAAUGGCUCAUUGAAUUUGUUCCUUUGAUCGCUCCAUCAGCGAAUGCAUACCGGCAAAUGCGGAUCUCCUGGGAUGCAUGCAUUUAUUAGACAAACCAAGACCAAUUCAGGCUCGGCCGGCCGCUUCAGUGACUAUCUAAGCUUUGGCAGAUCGCAUGUCCCCUUGACAACCAUACAUUCGGAUGGCUGCCCUUUCAACUUUUGAUGGUACUUUCUGUGCCUACCAUGGUGACCACUGAUAACGGAGAAUCAGGCUUUGAUUAUGGAGAGGUAGCCUGAGAAACAGCUACCCACUUCCAAAAAGGAAGCAGGCGCACAUUACCUACACCUGACUCGGGGAGGUAGUGAUAGAAAAAUAACAAUACAGGAGUUUUUCGAGGCCCUGUAACUGGAAUGAGUACACUUUCUAUCCUUUAACAAGGAUCCAUUGGAGGGCAAGUCUGUUGCAGGCAGCCGCAGUAAUUCCAGCUCCAAUAGUUGCUGCAGUUAAAAAGCUUGUAUUUGGAUCUCGACAUCGAGCUGAAAGUCCGCCGCAAGGCGAGCUACCGCCUGUCGCAGCCGAUGCCUCUCAGUGCUCCCUUGAUGCUCUUGACUGUGUCCUGGGGGUCAGAAGGGUUUACUUUCAAAACAUAAGAGAUUUCAAAAGAGGCCGGUCACCUGAAUACUUCAGCUAAGAAUGAUGGAAUAGUUUUCUGGUUCAUUUUGUUGGUGUUUAGACCUGGGGCCAUGAAUAAGAGGGACGCCCAGGUGCAUUUGUUUUGUGCCGCUCAAGGUGAAAUUCUUGGACCGUCGUAGUUCCAACCAAACAAUGCAGACUUACGAUUUGGUGGUGUUAUUCCCAUUACCCGCCGAGCAGCUUUUGGGAAACCAAAGUGUUUGGGUUCCAGGGUGAGUAUGGUUGCAAAGCUGAAACUUAAAAGGAAUUGGCGGAAGGGCACCCACCAGGAUUGGAGACUGCUGCUUAUUUAACUGAACACUGGAAACCUCACAGCAAAGAUUCACAGAUUGAUAGCUCUUUCACGAUUCUGUGGGUGGUGGUGCAUGGCCGUUCUGAUUCUGUGGGUGGUGGUGCAUGGCCGUUCUUAGUUGGUGGAGUGAUUUGCCUGGCUAAUUCCAAUGAUGAACGAGACUCUCUCCAUGCUUACUAGUUACGCAGCAUUCAACUUCUUAGAGGGACAAGUGGCGUUCAGCCACACAAGAUCGAGUAAUAACUGCUCUAUGAUGCCCUUGGAUGACCGGGGCUGCAUGCAUGUUACACUGAAUGGAUCAGCGUGUGUCAACCCUUUGCCGACAGGUGCGUGUUACCUGCUGAAUUCUGUUUGUGAUAGGGAUUUGGGGUUUCGAUUAUUUCCAUUAAACAAGGAAUUCUGAGUAAGUGCGGGUCAUAAGCUUGCGUUAAGUCCCUGGACUUCGUACACACCGCUCGUCGCUACUACUGAUUGAAUGUUUUUAUUGAGGUCCUCGGAUCAGCCCCGCCACGGUAGGCAAUGGCCCUGGCAGGGCACCGAGAGACGAUUAAACUUGACUAUCAAGAGGAACUAAAAGUUGUUACAUGGUUUCCGUAGGGGAACCUGUAGAAG